GCACAAGCGGUGGAGCAUGUGGUUUAAUUCGAUGCAACGCGAAGAACCUCACCUAGGCUUGACAUGGCUGAAGUAGGACCCCGAAAGGGGAACCACCCGUAAAGUCGGGAACAGUCACAGGUGCUGCAUGGCUGUCGUCAGCUCGUGCCGUGAGGUGUUGGGUUAAGUCCCGCAACGAGCGCAACCCUCGGCGUUAGUUACCAUGUCUAACGCGACUGCCGGUUUCAAACCGGAGGAAGGUGGGGAUGACGUCAAGUCAGCACGGCCCUUACGCCUAGGGCUACACACACGCUACAAUGGCCGGUACAACGGGACGCCAAGGGGUGACCCGGAGCAAAUCCCAUCAAAGCCGGUCUCAGUUGGGAUUGCAGGCUGCAACUCGCCUGCAUGAACGCGGAGUUGCUAGUAACCGCAGGUCAGCACACUGCGGUGAAUACGUUCCCGGGC
rnacentral:rRNA from 1 species